rnacentral:rRNA from 1 species
UACGUAGGGUGCAAGCGUUGUCCGGAAUUAUUGGGCGUAAAGAGCUCGUAGGCGGUUCGUCGCGUCGGCUGUGAAAACCCGGAGCUCAACUCCGGGCCUGCAGUCGAUACGGGCGGACUCGAGUUCGGCAGGGGAGACUGGAAUUCCUGGUGUAGCGGUGAAAUGCGCAGAUAUCAGGAGGAACACCGGUGGCGAAGGCGGUUCUCUGGGCAUGUCCUGACGCUGAGGAGCGAAAGUGUGGGGAGCGAACAGG